GUCCAUGCGAGUGAAUAAACUCCUUUCAGUUUUAACUUUGUCGUUUGUCCCAGUGUUUGGUGAUCUACUGGCUUGCUUGGCACAGCAGGCAUAACAUGCUAUCAUCAUCUCUACUUAGUAUAUUGAUAUGUGAAGCCCAAAUGUCAACUCUCUUUCAUAGAGAAAAUCCCUUUGAAUGCCAACAAAGGCAGUACAUAUGUUUACAUGCGUGGAUGAUUUGAGGCUCUGGAUGAUGCUAACCACCCUGCACUCACUUCGGCAGGAAUUACCUUUGCUUCUAGUCAGCUGUCAGAUCAGAAACUCCUGACCACAUGAAUCAAAACAGAAACUAGAAGAUUGGAAUCUGGGAGACGGAGCAAGACCCCAUGAACUCUGCUCUCCUUCCAUGUUAUUGCUCUCUCCAGCACACUGUCAUCCAAAUGUCUCCUGCUAGGGGCCAGUUUUGUCAUCCCAGGUCCACGAGUGCCAAUCACUCCAGCAUCUCGGCAUCAGCCCUGGCAGAUGACAAUGUCCUCAAGGGAAGAAGGCCAGGGAGCUUUCAUCUCACCACCGUGGCCUCAGCUGUGUCCCCACCUUAGCUCCAAACUCUCGCUGCCCUAGCAGCUGUCUAAUGCUUGGAGACAAUUGAAAAAAUAUUGAAAAUUGUUUUAUAGUUCAGAAGAAAAGUUUGUGUGAAGUGGUUUCCCCACUGUCAAAAAUAAAA